rnacentral:rRNA from 1 species
ACUUGUACCGACUGGAUGAGCAGCGAACGGGUGAGUAACGCGUGGGGAAUCUGCCUUUGAGCGGGGGACAACAUUUGGAAACGAAUGCUAAUACCGCAUAAAAACUUUAAACACAAGUUUUAAGUUUGAAAGAUGCAAUUGCAUCACUCAAAGAUGAUCCCGCGUUGUAUUAGCUAGUUGGUGAGGUAAAGGCUCACCAAGGCGAUGAUACAUAGCCGACCUGAGAGGGUGAUCGGCCACAUUGGGACUGAGACACGGCCCAAACUCCUACGGGAGGCAGCAGUAGGGAAUCUUCGGCAAUGGACGAAAGUCUGACCGAGCAACGCCGCGUGAGUGAAGAAGGUUUUCGGAUCGUAAAACUCUGUUGGUAGAGAAGAACGUUGGUGAGAGUGGAAAGCUCAUCAAGUGACGGUAACUACCCAGAAAGGGACGGCUAACUACGUGCCAGCAGCCGCGGUAAUACGUAGGUCCCGAGCGUUGUCCGGAUUUAUUGGGCGUAAAGCGAGCGCAGGUGGUUUAUUAAGUCUGGUGUAAAAGGCAGUGGCUCAACCAUUGUAUGCAUUGGAAACUGGUAGACUUGAGUGCAGGAGAGGAGAGUGGAAAUCCAUGG